GGGGUUGUGGCUGAGGGGUAAAGUACUUGCCUAGCAUGUAUGAGGCACUAGGUUCAAUCCUCAGCACCA
rnacentral:tRNA from 1 species